rnacentral:rRNA from 1 species
AGUGAACGCUGGCGGUAGGCCUAACACAUGCAAGUCGAACGGCAGCACAGUAAGAGCUUGCUCUUACGGGUGGCGAGUGGCGGACGGGUGAGGAAUACAUCGGAAUCUACCUUUUCGUGGGGGAUAACGUAGGGAAACUUACGCUAAUACCGCAUACGACCUACGGGUGAAAGCAGGGGAUCUUCGGACCUUGCGCGAUUGAAUGAGCCGAUGUCGGAUUAGCUAGUUGGCGGGGUAAAGGCCCACCAAGGCGACGAUCCGUAGCUGGCCUGAGAGGAUGAUCAGCCACACUGGAACUGAGACACGGUCCAGACUCCUACGGGAGGCAGCAGUGGGGAAUAUUGGACAAUGGGCGCAAGCCUGAUCCAGCCAUACCGCGUGGGUGAAGAAGGCCUUCGGGUUGUAAAGCCCUUUUGUUGGGAAAGAAAAGCAGCAGGUUAAUACCCCGCUGUUCUGACGGUACCCAAAGAAUAAGCACCGGCUAACUUCGUG